rnacentral:tRNA from 1 species
GAGGGUAUAGCUCAGCAAUAGAGUGCAAGCCUAGCAUGCAUGAGGUCCUGGGUUCGAUCGCCAGCACCUCCA